rnacentral:rRNA from 1 species
UACAGAGGGGGCAAGCGUUGUUCGGAAUUACUGGGCGUAAAGGGCGCGUAGGCGGCCUUCUAAGUCGAACGUGAAAUCCCCGGGCUCAACCCGGGAACUGCGUCCGAUACUGGAAGGCUUGAAUCCGGGAGAGGGAUGCGGAAUUCCAGGUGUAGCGGUGAAAUGCGUAGAUAUCGGGAGGAACACCGGUGGCGAAGGCGGGUCUCUGGGCAAUUCCUGACGCUGAGGCGCGAAAGCGUGGGGAGCAAACGGG